GUGUCAGCCGCCGCGGUAAUACGUAGGAUCCUAGCGUUGUCCGGAUUUACUGGGUGUAAAGGGUGCGCAGGCGGACUUGUAAGUCAGGGGUGAAAUCUCGGCGCUUAACGCCGAAACUGCCUUUGAUACUAUAAGUCUUGAGUUUGGUAGAGAUCCGUGGAAUUCCGAGUGUAGCAGUGAAAUGUGUAGAUAUUCGGAAGAACACCAGCGGCGAAGGCAGCGGAUUGGGCCAAUACUGACGCUCAGGCACGAAAGCAUGGGGAUCAAACAGGAUUAGAAACCCCCGUAGUCC
rnacentral:rRNA from 1 species